rnacentral:tRNA from 1 species
GGCCUGAUGGUCUAGUGGUAUGAUUCCUGCUUUGGGUGCAGGAGGCCCCGGGUGUAAGUUCAUCCAAUAUGGUUCGAUGUCAAACGUCCUCCUAACAGGCGCACAGUCGAAUCCCGGUCAGGCCC